GACGAACGCUGGCGGCGUGCUUAACACAUGCAAGUCGAACGGAAAGGCCCCUUUGGGGGUACUCGAGUGGCGAACGGGUGAGUAACACGUUAGUAACCUGCCCUUGACUUCGGGAUAACUUCAGUAAACUGGGGCUAAUACCGGAUAGGAAUCCUUGCUGCAUGGUGGGGGUUGGAAAGCUUCGGCGGUUUUGGAUGGACUCGCGGCUUAUCAGCUUGUUGGUGGGGUAGUGGCUUACCAAGGCUUUGACGGGUAGCCGGCCUGAGAGGGCGACCGGCCACAUUGGGACUGAGAGACGGCCCAGACUCCUACGGGAGGCAGCAGUGGGGAAUAUUGCACAAUGGGCGGAAGCCUGAUGCAGCAACGCCGCGUGCGGGAGGACGGCCUUCGGGUUGUAAACCGCUUUCAGCAGGGGCGAAGCUUGUGGUGACGGUACCUGCAGAAGAAGCACCGGCUAACUACGUG
rnacentral:rRNA from 1 species